UCCUGUAAGGACUUUAAUAUUUAUAUGUGUGCUUUAAAUAUUUUUGAUAAAUAUUCCUCUAUAAAAAUUUAAAGUUUAUAAUUACUUUAUCUACUUAAUUUGUAAAAAUAUAUGGUUCGUUUUAUGCGAUGUCACUUCCGGUUUUGCUACUUCCGGUUUCGCCACUUCCGGUUAGCGCUCAGUGCUCAAUCUUGCAAUGAAACCGGCAUGGCGUGCUCUUUAUAGUAUCCAGCGCAUCCACUAAAAACAUCAUAGAGGCAAUGCCUUUUCACCGUACAAUGUAAAUGAGAGAGUGACAGUAAAGGGUAAAUCUUA